GAGAGUAUAGCUCAGUGGUAGAGUGCAUGCUUAGCAUGCAUGAGGUCCUGGGUUCAUUCCCCAGUACUGCCA
rnacentral:tRNA from 1 species